AGCCGCUUCAUGGACAUGGUGCAUGCCAUGCCACUGCCAUUGCAUACUGCCCUUGGCUUUAGUGUUGGACUGGUGAGGAAGAGAGGGGAUGCUCUCGCAUUAGGAGUUGAACAAACGAACUACAUGUACUAGUAGUAGUAACUGUUACUUUUAAUCUUUGCACCUGUUCAUUUUCCUGGUGCAGUGGUGGACUGGGAGUCGUGUCGGUGAAAAUCCUGUACUGGACUGAACCGUAACCAACCGCCUGACAUGCAGUGGGCAGGGUAUGCAAUGGCAGAUACCAAUAAUUGCUGUAUCUUUUCAAACGAAUCCUGAUGACAAUAAUGAGUGAUAUUAAAUUUUGUGGAUACUCGACAUCAUUCCAGUGCAGUAAUACUCAGCAGAGAUCUGUAUGCAGAACGGCACACUGCGGCACUGGUUGCUUAGCUUAGUCAGCGGCUGGAACUGGAGACCGUCGAUGAGUGAAAGUCCGCGAUCCAAACUCUGGGAGAGUUUAGUGCAUUCCCAGCGUGCUGUGAGCUGCAUCAGGGUGGAUGGCGCGCGACUCACUGCACACUACCCGUGACAGGGACAACGAACACGAUCGACUCUGAUGUAGGCUACUAUUCCGACUCCGGUAGGUCUCCAGGCGCGAGGCGUACUUAGAUCAUGAAGGCCAGCGUGACUGACGAGAGAAUCACCAAAACCUUUCGACCAAACGGUCAACAAAUGAAUGAAGUGCAAUAAUGGGAUGGAAGCAAGGAGGUGAAGGCGGAAGACCAGACCGUUUGCUGGACAGCUAGAAGACGUGUUAUGACCAAUGCCGUAAUACAGCCGAGUAGUACACUGUCAGUGGCCAGCGCUGAAAUAGGGUGAUCGUGGAUUUGUGGGCCAUGCCCAUGUGCCAAAAGCAUCCAACAAGGACUAUAAUUGUACCUUCAAAGACUCAAAGAGGAAUGUGGACAAGGAGGCGAGUCGCAAGGGAAAGGAAGAGCCUGAUCGGUUUGAGAAGCAGUAGCUGAAGCAUUAACAAGGCUAGCAAUUGAGCAAGACCAGGCUUGCUGCCGCCGUCAGUCUCGUUGGCACAAAGAUGUCACAGUAAUCAAAACAAUACUCAGAGCGGCCCGUCCGCAUCUUCUGUACAGCAAAGUAGCAGAUAGAUUGCCAUCAAGAACACUGGUCACAUUAUAUUGUACAAGGGUCCUUGCAAGUGGAUAUAUUAUAAAUAGGUAUGUUGUAUUAGUACUUCCUUGCUUGCUUGCUUGAUGUUGUUCGGUUUUCACCCGUUAUGCUCCCAGUUUACGAGUAUGUUUGUUUUUCGUGUCCUGUACUUGAUCAUUGCAUAUCUGUAUGUAGGUGUGCUGUGUGUGUGUGUGUGUGUGUGUGCGUGUGUGUGUGUGUGUGUGUGUGCGUGUGCGCGCGUGUUUAUGUGUUUAUACAUACUGUACGUGGAAGCGCGGAUGUCACACUGAUUAUAGUGUGGCAGUCUCGGGUCUGUAUGCUCUACAUGAGUAAAUACCGUGACCUGCCGCUACGCUGGUUUUUACUGUUUUCAUCACUUUUCCCCAUUCUCGCAGCAGAGCGAGCUGAAUGCAGGCUUUCACUCAUCCAUCCGUCCUAAACUUACCGUCAUUUUCUCCUAUUUUUCAAGUAUCCUGUGAAUCAGUAUGUUUGUGAGCAGCAGAUGAAACUACCGUGUUGAACAGCGUUCACACACAAACUCUUACAACAAGUUAGUAAGCACAGUGUUGUUGUGCUUGAUGCUUGAUACAGUCGUUAUGCAUUGCAGCUGAAUGGUCUUUGUUGUCAGCUUGUCCUAUCCUUGCUGUGAAUGGUCUUGGUUCUCAGCUGUUUUUUAUUUUUUAUUUUUUUAUUUUUUAUUUUUACA